GGAAGUAAAAGUCGUAACAAGGUCUCCGUAGGUGAACCUGCGGAGGGAUCAUUACACAAUAAAAUAUGAAGGCUGUACGCGGCUGUGCUCUCGGGCCAGUUUUGCGGAGGCUGAAUUAUUUAUUACCCUUGUCUUUUGCGCACUUGUUGUUUCCUGGGCGGGUUCGCCCGCCACCAGGACCACAUCAUAAACCUUUUUUAUGCAGUUGCAAUCAGCGUCAGUAUAACAAAUGUAAAUCAUUUACAACUUUCAACAACGGAUCUCUUGGUUCUGGCAUCGAUGAAGAACGCAGCGAAAUGCGAUACGUAGUGUGAAUUGCAGAAUUCAGUGAAUCAUCGAAUCUUUGAACGCACAUUGCGCCCUUUGGUAUUCCAAAGGGCAUGCCUGUUCGAGCGUCAUUUGUACCCUCAAGCUUUGCUUGGUGUUGGGCGUUUUUUGUCUUUGGUUGCCAAAGACUCGCCUUAAAAGGAUUGGCAGCCGGCCUACUGGUUUCGCAGCGCAGCACAUUUUUGCGCUUGCAAUCAGCAAAAGAGGACGGCAAUCCAUCAAGACUCCUUCUCACGUUGA
rnacentral:rRNA from 1 species